rnacentral:piRNA from 1 species
AUGCCAACAAUUCUUCCAGAUAUACCUCCCC